rnacentral:rRNA from 1 species
CAAAGUGACAGGUGGUGCAUGGUUGUCGUCAGCUCGUGUCGUGAGAUGUUGGGUUAAGUCCCGCAACGAGCGCAACCCUUGAUUUUAGUUGCCAGCAUUUAGUUGGGCACUCUAAAGUGACUGCCGG